CCGGAAGCUGCUCCUGCCCUGAGCCCCGAUGCACUUAGUAUCUCACAACAGAAGACUGUCCAGUUUGUUUUACAGUUUGUAGUUACCUUGGGUAUCUGCCCCUAUCUCAUGCCUGGUGUUGGAGUCCCUUUGAGAUAUAGAACUGAGUUUGGUGCCGUCGUUCAAGACGUGGUGUGUUUUGAUGCUGCCCCCGAUGCAACUCGAAGACUGUACACCAGCUGCAAGGCCCUUCUGAAUGUUGCUCAGCACACAUCUCUGGGGAGCUUGAUCUUCUGCCACCACUUUGGGGAUAUCGCAGCAGGUCUGUGCCAACUGGGAUUCUGCCCAACCAAAAGAAAACUGCUAACACCUGCAGAAGAGGUUCUAACUGAAGAGGAGAGAACCCUAUCCAGGGGGGCCUUGAGAGACAUGCUGGAUCAAGUCUAUCAGCCCUUAGCAGUCCGGGAACUGCUUAUCCUCCAGGGAGGACCACCCCAGGUACUCAGGCCUAGGGACUCUUGGGGGUGACUCAUUAAUGAUAAUGUGUGGUUUGCUGUCUUCUUCUGGAAAAUUAAAUAACUUUAGUUCCCUGUCGAA
rnacentral:sRNA from 1 species